UGGUACAAUAUUUCGCUUGAAGUUACGCUUCAUCAUGGUGCACAUACAGCAUGCCUGCAUGCAUUGCUGCUGUUGCAUUGUGAUGGUUGCUGGAAAUCCUUGGGUUUGCAAACAAUGCAAAAAUUUUCAGCUAUCUGACAAGGAAUUAAAACAGCUGCUGAACUGAGGAGGGAACAAAACCUAACAGUGCCUAUCAAACUUCACACACCAGUUGCAGCACAUUUAAUUAUUGGGGUGCUGGUGAUGAUGGCCACAAUCACAUCAGAGAUGCAAAGUCUCCCAAGAGAUGCAAAGUCUCCCAACACAAACCUUGGUUAAGGUCUGGUAAGAAAGAAACAAGGUCCUUCUGAUAUGCCAAUAUGCAAUUAUGCGCAGAUCAGAUUCAAUCUAUCUGCCAAAGCAUGUGUGCUGGGUCAAAACCUCGAAUCUGAUUCUUCAUCUGAUUCAAGCACUGAGCCAAAGAAAGUGAGUUAUCACGCUGUUGCUGCUGGCCAAGUCCAUGUUCCACUUUCUAUGAGUGCUGAGACUGUAGCAUCCCUGUGAUCCAUGUGAUCACGGCAGCAGUGGCAAGACAUUCCUAAGGUUGAGACUUUUGCUUGAGGACAAUAUAAGGGAGUCAAUCUUUUGGAGAAGUAUGGUCUAAGCCCUGGUACAUUGAAGGGAGAACAACACAAGGAAAUAGGGGGAUGAAAAUGUUGGCAAAAUCUUCGUUAACUUUGGGAGCAUGGAUGACAUUUCUGAAGUUUCUGGUGGAAAGGAUGGAAAUGAUUCUGAGUAUGAGCUUUUGGUUUGCAGUCCAUCCAAAAUUGAGUCUUAGGUGGCUCCUUCCAGCCUGGAGAGUUCAAGGGAUGAAGGUGGAUUCCUACUUGAAAGUCUCUUCCAAACAGUGAUAAGUCAGUAUUGGGAGUUCUCGAAAAAGUGACUUGCCUUGUUUCUCAUAAUUGGAAUGACGUCUGAAAAAUAGAUGCCUCUUGUGGUAUACACUAUGCUCUUCCGUGCUUGUACUCAGCUUGAAGUUCUUCGAUUGUACCACUUUCUGACAAGGCCUCGUAGCCACAUAAUAAGAUUUGACGGGAAAUGAAAACAGUUGCUGAUUUUACCACUUUAUGAUGACGGCCUUGUAGGAACAUAAUAAGACAUGACAGGGAAUGAAAACAGUUGCUGAACUGAGGAGGGUAAUCUUCCAAUGCCGAUCAACACGGAUUCACUUUACACAGUGAGAACAUGGAUUCACUUUACACGCCUAUUGACAAGAAGCCAACAAAGUUCAAUCCAUUGGUCACAAUACUUAAAUUUAUGUGAUGCGCUUUUCAUUGAUAAUUUUUUUAUUGGUGAUUUUAUAAUGUUUAUUCUUUAAUAUGCUUUUUAUUUGUGUGAACAUUAAAUGAAACACAUAUUGCUUCAACUUCUAACUUAACUCAAUCACUUAA